UCCAAUGUGGUGUAGUGGCUAACAUUGCUGUCUUUCAUCUGACUUUAUCAAAAACACAGCAGCCCGGGGUUCGAUUCCCCGCAUUGGAA